UGGGGAAUAUUGCACAAUGGGCGCAAGCCUGAUGCAGCCAUGCCGCGUGUAUGAAGAAGGCCUUCGGGUUGUAAAGUACUUUCAGCGGGGAGGAAGGGAGUAAAGUUAAUACCUUUACUCAUUGACGUUACCCGCAGAAGAAGCACCGGCUAACUCCGUGCCAGCAGCCGCGGUAAUACGGAGGGUGCAAGCGUUAAUCGGAAUUACUGGGCGUAAAGCGCACGCAGGCGGUUUGUUAAGUCAGAUGUGAAAUCCCCGGGCUCAACCUGGGAACUGCAUCUGAUACUGGUCAGCUAGAGUCUUGUAGAGGGGGGUAGAAUUCCAUGUGUAGCGGUGAAAUGCGUAGGGAUGUGGAGGAAUACCGGUGGCGAAGGCGGCCCCCUGGACAAAGACUGACGCUCAGGUGCGAAAGCGUGGGGAGCAAACAGG
rnacentral:rRNA from 1 species